UAUGGAUUCUCAAGACUUGUGACCGAUGAGCUUGGAUGCUUGGUUUCUAAAGUUGAUGGUCAUUAUUUCAAUGGCAAAGAGAUCAGUAAUAUUUAAGAUCCUCAUACAGAUAACGGGGUACUAUUUUAGAUUGGCAAACUCUUCAUUUAAUACUUAAACUUGAAUUUAUUAAACAUGCAUGUCGGGUUUCGUGAUCUGGUUUGUUAAUCAUUAUUGUACAGUAUAUCAUUACUUUGUUAUUGGGACAAUUAAAGAAGUUAUGGAUGAACCGGAUUGGUGGUAUUACUCAUGUGUAUGUGGUCAUGCCGUUGUUGAGCAUGAGGAUCUUUACCUUUGUGAUGCUUGUGGUUCAUGUAUUGAACAUGUUAUGGUCAAGUAAGGUUCAUAUGUAACUCUAUUAUGGAAUAGAUUAAGUAUCAAUCUUUUGGAUUUUUUGUUUGUUCUUUGUUAGGCACAACUCUUUGUGUUAUUAAGCAGAUUUCUUGGUUUUAGUUGUUAUUCUUGGUUGUUUGUGUUAGAUAUGGGAUUCAGGUAAAGAUUCACCAUGGUGGGUGUGCUAUUUUGUUUGUUCUGCUUGAUAAUGCGGCAACAAAACUAUUUGGAAAAACCUGUUCUGAAGCAUUUCUCAGGAUAGAAGAAUAAUUUCCUGUUGAUCCUAAUCUGCUUGCAGUAUGAACUCUUUCAUAGCGAACCUUAUUUAAUCUUUAUUAAGUUUCUUUUGUGUUCAAGUUUCUUGAUAUUUUUAUAUUGAUCUCCGAAGGUCCGUCGGUCAUAUUCUCCACAUAUGUUUGAUGAUGUUGUUGGAGAGGAGAAAGUUUUCAAGGUUUAAAUUAAUUCUGCAGUUGAUCGAGAUUACUCCCGGUACUUUAAAAUUGUAAAUGUCUUUAGUCAUAAUCCGGAACCAGCUGCAACCGAUGAUUAUAUGAAAGUAUGAUUCCUCACCCUAUGUUAGAACAUGUUCAUGCAAUUUUUUACUUUUUUCUGAAUCUAUGUGUCAGAUACUUAUUCUAACCAAAUUAUCCCAGGCAAGGUUUCACGGUCCCAUUUUUCCACCAAUCUAUGACACCUAUUUGUAGUAUGCAACUGGGGAAGAUUAUAAGACUCAAGUAGUGUGUGAUAAUUCUAUUCAAUCAGAAACUAUUGAAGAUAUUAUUAUUGAUCUUAAUUCACCCAAUCGCUGCUAUUCUGAUGCUGAGAACGUAUAUUUUUUUUCUCAUUUGCAAUAAAAUCUCUUAGAUCAUUCGUUUUUGUUAUUCUUGUUAUAUGAUACGCUGAAAAGUUAGUAAAUGAUAGUUUUGUAAAUUAUUUGAAAUUUGAAAUGCUGUAAUAAUUUUUUCUUUGCUGGCAGGGUGGUUUCGUUUUUAUUCUGGAAACUAUAUCAUCUGUUUUGAAGAAUCAUACGUGGUGGUUCUCAACUUGUUUAUGUGGUUCUCUUGUGUCAGCUAAUAAAAAUAUUUUAUCAUGUGAUCUAUGUCAGCUUCAAUGCAUUGAUGCUGUCCCAAGGUGUUUUGUUCUUUAAUUUUAUUCUGUUUUGGUAACUAAUUAUUAUUUCACUGUUUACUAAAAUUUUCCUUGUUUUCUCAUGGUUUUCAAGAUUCUGCUUAAAGAUUGUAGUGUCUCAUACAAAUGGCAACAAUAUAUUUGUUCUUAAAGAUCAUGAGAUCGUACAAAUAAUAAAGACAAGAUGCUCGAGCUUUUUGGAUAAUCACCCAGAGUUGAAUCAGGGAUCUUAUUGCAAAGUUGUUCCAUUGAAACUCAUUUCAAGUCUUUUGCACAAAAAAGUUGUAUUCAUGGUUGAUGCUAGGCCUGUGGAUUAUGAGAUGAAUCGAUCUGUGUAUAUUGUUCAACAAAUUUGGGAUGAUGCCUCUGUUAUUAAUGUUUUUGAGGUUGCUGCUGAGAUGAAUGAGCAUAAGAUUCAUGUUCUGGUUGAUUCUAUACCUGAAGUUGAAGAUGCUUUCAGCCAAUGUAGAAGCGAGCAUGAGGUUGUGGAGGAUCUGCAUGCUUUUUAGUUUAAUAUGUUCAAAUAUUACUUUAAAAUGUUGUUUGAUUUGUAAUACUUAGUAUGUUUUGAAUUCUAAU